rnacentral:lncRNA from 1 species
CCUGCGCAUGCGUGAUACUUGCACCGGUCGAGAUGGUAGCAUGAGUCUGGAGGUCAUUUUCUUUGAGAAAGGCUCCGCUUCUCCGGGUUUUUGCUGAUGCCGAUCCCGGGGGAUUGAGGAAACAUUGAGCUCUGGAGUGGAAAAGAUCACUAAAAAGCUUCUCCUUGAAAAAUACUCAGAAGAUGCAACACACACACACACACACGUGUGUGCACUUACACACGCGGACACCGUCUCACAUCAUCAGUGGGAAAAGUGAUAGAAUCUUGCUAAAGGCUGAUCAUACCAUAUUAAUCCGAUUCGCCAGAACUACUUUCUUCACUGAGCUCUCAGCCUGCUCCCAACCAGGUGUCUCCAGAACUUUUUCUCUCCGCCACCAACUCCGCCUCCAGACAGACCGCAGGUGCUUUCUGUCAUAGGGACUGGCGUGCCGCGGACAGUGUGACAAAGAAACUGUAUGAUGGAUAUGAGAACUUCGUAAGACCCAGCAGCAAACGGGGAGCGGCUGGCGAGCGCUCCACAGCCCCCAAGCGUGGGAGCUCUAGAUCGGAAUUUGUAAUUUGGA